rnacentral:rRNA from 1 species
UACGUAGGGUGCAAGCGUUGUCCGGAAUUAUUGGGCGUAAAGAGCUCGUAGGCGGUUUGUCGCGUCUGCUGUGAAAACGCGAGGCUCAACCUCGCGCCUGCAGUGGGUACGGGCAGACUUGAGUACUGCAGGGGAGACUGGAAUUCCUGGUGUAGCGGUGAAAUGCGCAGAUAUCAGGAGGAACACCGGUGGCGAAGGCGGGUCUCUGGGCAGUAACUGACGCUGAGGAGCGAAAGCGUGGGGAGCGAACAGG